AUUGAACGCUGGCGGCAGGCUUAACACAUGCAAGUCGAUCGGUAGCACAGGGGAGCUUGCUCCCUGGGUGACGAGCGGCGGACGGGUGAGUAAUGUCUGGGAAACUGCCUGAUGGAGGGGGAUAACUACUGGAAACGGUAGCUAAUACCGCAUAACGUCGCAAGACCAAAGGAGGGGGACCUUCGGGCCUCUUGCCAUCAGAUGUGCCCAGAGUGGGAUUAGCUAGUAGGUGGGGUAAUGGCUCACCUAGGCGACGAUCCCUAGCUGGUCUGAGAGGAUGACCAGCCACACUGGAACUGAGACACGGUCCAGACUCCUACGGGAGCAGCAGUGGGGAAUAUGCACAAUGGAGGAAACUCUGAUGCAGCGACGCCGCGUGAACGAAGACGGUCUUCGGAUUGU
rnacentral:rRNA from 1 species